GAUGAACGCUGGCGGCGUGCUUAACACAUGCAAGUCGAACGAGAAGUGAAGACGGAAACCUUCGGGCGGAAGGCGUUAUUUCGAGUGGCGGACGGGGGAGUAACGCGUGGGUAACCUGCCUCAUACAGGGGGAUAACAGUUGGAAACGACUGUUAAUACCGCAUAAGACCACAGCACCGCAUGGUGCGGGGGUAAAAACUCCGGUGGUAUGAGAUGGACCCGCGUUCGAUUAGCCAGUUGGCGGGGUAACGGCCCACCAAAGCGACGAUCGAUAGCCGGUCUGAGAGGAUGACCCGCCACAUUGGGACUGAGACACGGCCCGGACUCCUACGGGAGGCAGCAGUGGGGAAUAUUGCACAAUGGGGGAAACCCUGAUGCAGCGACGCCGCGUGAGUGAAGAAGUAUUUCGGUAUGUAAAGCUCUAUCAGCAGGGAAGAAAAUGACGGUACCUGAGUAAGAAGCCCCGGCUAACUACGUG
rnacentral:rRNA from 1 species